GGGGAUGUGGCUCAAGCGGUAGCGCGCUCGCCUAGCAUGUGUGCGGCCCGGGUUCGAUCCCCAGCAGCACCA
rfam:Ictidomys tridecemlineatus contig096467, whole genome shotgun sequence.